AGAGUUUGAUCCUGGCUCAGAUUGAACGCUGGCGGCAGGCUUAACACAUGCAAGUCGAACGGUAACAUAAAGAAGCUUGCUUCUUUGAUGACGAGUGGCGAACGGGUGAGUAAUGCUUGGGAAUCUAGCUUAUGGAGGGGGAUAACUACGGGAAACUGUAGCUAAUACCGCGUAAUAUCGAAAGAUUAAAGUGUGGGACCUUCGGGCCACAUGCCAUAGGAUGAGCCCAAGUGGGAUUAGGUAGUUGGUGAGGUAAAGGCUCACCAAGCCGACGAUCUCUAGCUGGUCUGAGAGGAUGACCAGCCACACUGGGACUGAGACACGGCCCAGACUCCUACGGGAGGCAGCAGUGGGGAAUAUUGCGCAAUGGGGGCAACCCUGACGCAGCCAUGCCGCGUGAAUGAAGAAGGCCUUCGGGUUGUAAAGUUCUUUCGGUAGCGAGGAAGGCAUUUAGUUUAAUAGACUAAGUGAUUGACGUUAACUACAGAAGAAGCACCGGCUAACUCCGUGCCAGCAGCCGCGGU
rnacentral:rRNA from 1 species